rnacentral:rRNA from 1 species
GACGAACGCUGGCGGCGUGCUUAACACAUGCAAGUCGAACGCUGAAGCACCAGCUUGCUGGUGUGUAUGAGUGGCGAACGGGUGAGUAAUACGUGAGUAACCUGCCCUUGACUCUGGGAUAAGCCCGGGAAACUGGGUCUAAUACUGGAUGCUACAUGUCACCGCAUGGUGGUGUGUGGAAAGGGUUUACUGGUCUUGGAUGGGCUCACGGCCUAUCAGCUUGUUGGUGAGGUAAUGGCUCACCAAGGCGACGACGGGUAGCCGGCCUGAGAGGGUGACCGGCCACACUGGGACUGAGACACGGCCCAGACUCCUACGGGAGGCAGCAGUGGGGAAUAUUGCACAAUGGGCGAAAGCCUGAUGCAGCGACGCCGCGUGAGGGAUGACGGCCUUCGGGUUGUAAACCUCUUUCAGCAGGGAAGAAGCCACAAGUGACGGUACCUGCAGAAGAAGCGCCGGCUAACUACGUG